UGGGGAAUCUUGGACAAUGGGCGCAAGCCUGAUCCAGCCAUGCCGCGUGGAUGAUGAAGGCCUUAGGGUUGUAAAAUCCUUUCAACGGGGACGAUAAUGACGGUACCCGUAGAAGAAGCCCCGGCUAACUUCGUGCCAGCAGCCGCGGUAAUACGAAGGGGGCUAGCGUUGCUCGGAAUUACUGGGCGUAAAGCGCACGUAGGCGGAUAUUUAAGUCGGAGGUGAAAGCCCAGGGCUCAACCCUGGAACUGCCCUCGAUACUGGGUAUCUGGACCAAAGUAGAGGUAAGUGGAAUUCCGAGUGUAGAGGUGAAAUUCGUAGAUAUUCGGAGGAACACCAGUGGCGAAGGCGACUUACUGGACUUUUGGUGACGCUGAGGUGCGAAAGCGUGGGGAGCAAACAGG
rnacentral:rRNA from 1 species